CAAAAAUUCUCAUUCCAUCUUGUCCAACGCACCAGCACUCAUGAGCCUUCUUUUCUUGUCACCCUGGCUGCUCUCACAUCUUCCCACCUGCCUUCCAUCCCUUGGAUGGUGAAGGCUGAGAACCUGUGGGCAGGAGCCGAGUCUUGUGCACUUCUGUCUCCCAGUGCCGGGCUUGUGCCAGGAGUCGAUAAAUGCAUUGUGUCAACUAAGAUAUUAAAGAAUAGCGUUGAGCCACUAGGCACUCCUGCCGAGUUCAAAGGAGAGGGCGCUUCAGUCAGACAGCAAAUGAAAGCAAGAGCCCCCAUCUCCAAACGUCACCAGCAAGCACCAAGGCCAAAUACACCAGCAUAAACCAAAGUGCCGGACAUGGGAAUCAGAGACACAGAAGCAAGAAGUCUAGUAGACAUCUGCUGUUGAACCUGGUGUUGGUUCAACAGGUUCCAGAAUUUGAGGACUGAAGCCUCUGUGAUUCUCCUGAACUUUGCAUCAUGACCUCAAAAUGGCUACUGUACCUUCAGUUAUCAUGCAUGAUAUGAUGUGGAUCUGUGUCGCCACCCAAAUUUCAUGUGAAAUUGUAAUCCCCAAAGUUGAAGGUGGGCCCUGGUGGGAGGUGAUCGGAUCAUGCGUGUAGAUUUUCCCCUUGGUGCUGUUCUCAUGAUAGUGAGUGGGUUCUUAUGAGAUCUGGCUUUUUAAAAGUGUGUAGCACCUCCUUCCUCUCUCUCUUCCUCCUGCUCCGGCUAUGUGAAGUGCUGCCCCUGACUUUGUCUUCCACCAUGAUUGUAAGUUUCCUGAGGCCUCCUUAGAAGCCAAGCUGAUGCCGGCAUCAGGUUUCCUGUCAUGCCUGCAGAAUCGUGAACCAAUUAAACCUCUUUUUCUUUAUAAAUUACCCAGUCUAAGGCAUUUAUUUAUGUCAGUGUGAGAACUGACUAAUACAAUGCCUCUAUUUCUGAAGGGAAGAAGGAGAGGGAAAGGAAGGUGGAAAUAAAAGACUUCCCAGAAAUCCUCAGUGCAGUCCACUUCAAUUUGAUUGGCCAGACCAUGUGCUAUGGUUUGAAUAUGUCCCCCAAAAGUUCAUGUAUUGGGAACUUAAUCCCUAAUGCAACAAUGUUGGGAGGUAGGGCUUAAUAAGAGGGGUCUGCCCUCAUCAGUGGACUAAUGUCUUUAGUAAGGGAGCAGGCAAGUUAAAGUGAGAGGGAGUUGUUAUAAAAGCAAACUCUGCCACCUUGUAUGUGCUCACUCUCUCCUCCUCCUCCUCCUCCUCCUCCUUCCUCUCUCUCUCUCUCUCUCUCAUGCUUGCUUCUACCUUCCACCAUCCCACCAUGGGAUGACCCUUGCCUGAUGCUGGUGCCAUGCUCUUGGACUUUACAGACUAUAAAACCAUUAGCAAAUAAACUUCUG
rnacentral:lncRNA from 1 species